rnacentral:rRNA from 1 species
GACGAACCGUGCGAACGUUGUUCGGAAUCACUGGGCUUAAAGGGCGCGUAGGCGGCAGAUCAAGUCCGGGGUGAAAUCCUCCAGCUUAACUGGAGAAGUGCCUUGGAUACUGAUUUGCUCGAGGGAGGUAGGGGUCGAGGGAACUUCUGGUGGAGCGGUGAAAUGCGUUGAUAUCAGAAGGAACGCCGGUGGCGAAAGCGCUCGACUGGAUCUCUUCUGACGCUGAGGCGCGAAAGCUAGGGGAGCAAACGGG